GGAUUUGGUGAAAGGGACACCAAGAAGGAUUUUCAGACCACUGAUGUUCGGACAAUCUUGGGAAUUGAUUAUUCAAAAUCACAGCAAGUUAUCAAAAAUCAAAGCCCAUAUUGAUGCAUUUGAAGCCUUGAAUCGUCCAAAAAACUUCUCCCGGCAAAUACUUUCAGUGGAUGAAUCAUCAUCGAGGGAUUGUUUGGCUCUAAUUAGGAAGUCUUUUGCUCACUUUGGAAAGUUAAAACAGGAUAUCCAGUAUGAAGAGGACAUACAACGACUUUGAGAGUCUGUCUUUCCAGACCAUAUACGAAUGUUACGAGAUGUAGCCUUAGUAUUUGAAGCUACUUUGUCAUCCAAGUUGGUUCCGGAGAUGAAGGUUUUAAAGGAUAUGUGGCUUCUAGACCCAUAGGAGGAAAAAGAUUUGAGUCUAAUAGAAAUAUUUUUGGAUUGUAUU